AGAACUGUCCGAGUCUAUAUUCAAGUAAUACAAAUAAAUUACCAUCGACCACGCCCAUAAAUUGGGGGAAACAAUCAUUAUUUCCCAUUCACCACCAUCUUCGUUGUUGAUUUUACGACAAUAACAAAACAUGUUCAUUGUACAUGUAACCAGAUAAAAACUCCCGACCUGCGGAUCGCAAACAAGGAAAUAAAGCCUGUAUGCCUUCAGUCUAUUCGCCAUUGGAGAGUGGGAAAUGCAGGGAGCAGGUGUCCAAGUACAGUAGGCAACACGUAGCUAUGUGUGUGAAAAAUAUUGGAUCACAGGCUAAACCCGGACGACGCUGGGCCAAUUGUGCGCCGCCCUUUGGGACUCCCAAUCACGGCCGGAUGUGAUCCAGCCUGGAGAGACAACAACUGCAUUAACUGUCAAGUCUAGAAACGGACAGUCUACCUGCAGAGACGGAGGCAGCAAUCUUCAGCGGGUAUGAGGGAUCCGAGUUGGUCCGACAAGCUAGUACAUUUAUCUCUGAGAAAUAAUUACGAUCCCUGUUUGUAAUAAACACUGUUAUCCAUACACAGGGUUGCCAGGUCAUGUGAAAAACCUGGGCAAAAGUCCUGAAACGAGGACUAUUUUUUUUUUUCCACAUCAAGAGAUGAGUUGUAAUAAACCAUUUUCCCAUAA